rnacentral:lncRNA from 1 species
GACAGUAUGUGAACCUUUGACCAACCCUUUUGUAGUGCUCUUUCCACAGCUUCCCGAAUUGCUAGGGCUUCAACAGUUAUGGCCUUCCCUACAAAUUGAAUAGGGGUACCAAAGGCAUGAAGCAAAUGACCACAACUAUCUAUAGCCGCCAUUCCGAUGCUUGCUUUUCCCUUCUCCCUUUGUAGACCUGCAUCUGUGAAAACAACAAUCCCAUCUCGGGCCAAAGUAAUGGUUACAUCA